ACUCCUGCGGGAGGCAGCAGUGGGGAAUUUUGGACAAUGGGCGAAAGCCUGAUCCAGCAAUGCCGCGUGAGUGAAGAAGGCCUUCGGGUUGUAAAGCUCUUUUGUCAGGGAAGAAACGGUGAGAGCUAAUAUCUCUUGCUAAUGACGGUACCUGAAGAAUAAGCACCGGCUAACUACGUGCCAGCAGCCGCGGUAAUACGUAGGGUGCAAGCGUUAAUCGGAAUUACUGGGCGUAAAGCGUGCGCAGGCGGUUUUGUAAGUCUGAUGUGAAAUCCCCGGGCUCAACCUGGGAAUUGCAUUGGAGACUGCAAGGCUAGAAUCUGGCAGAGGGGGGUAGAAUUCCACGUGUAGCAGUGAAAUGCGUAGAUAUGUGGAGGAACACCGAUGGCGAAGGCAGCCCCCUGGGUCAAGAUUGACGCUCAUGCACGAAAGCGUGGGGAGCAAACAGGAUUAGAAACCCUAGUAGUCCC
rnacentral:rRNA from 1 species